rnacentral:misc_RNA from 1 species
UCCUUCUUAUCGAAGGCAGUUUUCGAAGAGUGCAUCCCUUGCGGGAUUAGCAACAUCGAAUAGGGGUUGCGCUCGUUGCGGGACUUAACCCAACAUCUCACGACACGAGCUGACGACAACCAUGCAGCACCUCUGCUGGCUCCCUUGCGGGUCAGCUCCUGUUUCCAGGAACUUACCACCAGUAGUUCAAGCCCAGGUAAGGUUCUUCGCGUUGCGUCGAAUUAAACCACAUGCUCCACCGCUUGUGCGGGCCCCCGUCAAUUCCUUUGAGUUUCGGUCUUGCGACCGUACUCCCCAGGCGGAGUGUUUCACGCGUUAGCUGCGGCACAGAGGGAUUCGACUCCCCCCACACCUAGUGUUCAUCGUUUACGGCUAGGACUAC